UACAGAGGGUGCGAGCGUUAUUCGGAAUGACUGGGUGUAAAGAGCUUGAAGGCGGUUUGGUAAGUCAGCUGUUAAAUUACCCAGCUUAACUGGGUGUCAGCGGUUGAAACUGCCGGGCUAGAGUACAGGAGAGAAGAGUGGAAUUCUCGGAGUAGCGGUAAAAUGCGUAGAUCUCGAGAGGAACACCGGUUGCGAAGGCGGCUCUUUGGCCUGAUACUGACGCUAUAGAGCGAAAGCGUGGGGAGCAAACAGG
rnacentral:rRNA from 1 species